rnacentral:lncRNA from 1 species
UUUUCAUUUGAAGUGCAGAUAUUGUACCAUCGCUCUCUCCUAUUUCUGUUGGAAGAUAACGGUGAUAAUCAUAGCAGCCCAGACAACAAGGAAGAGGAUGUGACAUAUGCCACCAUCGACCAUAACAACACCAAGACAACAGGAUUCAUUGUAGAUUCCGGAGAUAAUGAUUGUGACUACGCCAUCGUUAACCUUCCAACUGGCCCAGCCCACCAGCCGUCAAUCAAGGAAGACUGUGCAGAUGACUAUGUCCUUAUGGGCUAACCUCAUGGACAAUGUGUGUGUGUGUGAGAUGACAGAGGUAAUGUGAGUAGGGGGAUAACGGAGAUGCAAGGUGGACAAGGGCUGGGGAAAGCUAGACAGCACCUUACGGAACCAAAGGAACAGAUAUGAUGCCUCUGACAGUGCCUACAAACUGAACUUGAUGCAGUGUGGGGUGCACCAAUUAGUGGGGCUUACCAAAGUAUUCACCCCCUUGGCAUUUUUCCUAUUUUGUUGACUUACAACCUGGAAUUAAAAUAUAUUUUGGGAGGUUUGUAUCAUUUGAUUUACACAACAUGCCUACCACUUUGAAGAUGCA